rnacentral:rRNA from 1 species
GACGAACGCUGGCGGCGUGCCCAAUACAUGCAAGUAGAACGCUGAAGAGAGGAGCUUACUCUUCUUGGAUGAGUUGCGAACGGGUGAGUAACGCGUAGGUAACCUGCCUUGUAGCGGGGGAUAACUAUUGGAAACGAUAGCUAAUACCGCAUAACAAUGGAUGACACAUGUCAUUUAUUUGAAAGGGGCAAUUGCUCCACUACAAGAUGGACCUGCGUUGUAUUAGCUAGUAGGUGAGGUAAUGGCUCACCUAGGCGACGAUACAUAGCCGACCUGAGAGGGUGAUCGGCCACACUGGGACUGAGACACGGCCCAGACUCCUACGGAAGGCAGCAGGAGGGAAUCUUCGGCAAUGGGGGCAACCCUGACCGAGCAACGCCGCGUGAGUGAAGAAGGUUUUCGGAUCGUAAAGCUCUGUUGUAAGUCAAGAACGGGUGUGAGAGUGGAAAGUUCACACUGUGACGGUAGCUUACCAGAAAGGGACGGCUAACUACGUG